rnacentral:rRNA from 1 species
UUUCCGGUUGAUCCUGCCGGACCUGACUGCUAUCGGAUUGAUACUAAGCCAUGUGAGUCUUUGUAGCAAUACAAGGCAGACGGCUCAGUAACACGUAGUCAAUCUAACCUAUAGACGGGGAUAACCUCGGGAAACUGAGAAUAAUACCCGAUAGAUCAUUAUGCCUGGAAUGGUUUAUGGUUGAAAUGAUUUUUCGCUAUAGGAUGGGACUGCGGUCUAUCAGCUUGUUGGUGAGGUAAUGGCCCACCAAGGCUAUAACAGAUACGGGCUCUGAGAGGAGAAGCCCGGAGAUGGGUACUGAGACACGGACCCANGCCCUAUGGGGCGCAGCAGGCGAGAAAACUUUGCAAUGUGCGAAAGCACNACAAGGUUAAUCCGAGUGUUUCCUGCUAAAGGAAUCUUUUGUCAGUCCUAAAAACACCGAUGAAUAAGGGGUGGGCAAGUUCUGGUGUCAGCCGCCGCGGUAAAACCAGCACCUCAAGUGGUCAGGAGGAUUAUUGGGCCUAAAGCAUCCGUAGCCGGCUCUGUAAGUUUUCGGUUAAAUCCAUAUGCUCAACGUAUGGGCUGCCGGGAAUACUGCAAAGCUAGGGAGUGGGAGAGGUAGACGGUACUCGGUAGGAAGGGGUAAAAUCCUUUGAUCUAUUGAUGACCACCUGUGGCGAAGGCGGUCUACUAGAACACGUCCGACGGUGAGGGAUGAAAGCUGGGGGAGCAAACCGGAUUAGGUACCCGGGUAGUCCCAGCUGUAAACAAUGCAAACUCAGUGAUGCACUGGCUUGUGGCCAGUGCAGUGCCGCAGGGAAGCCGUUAAGUUUGCCGCCUGGGAAGUACGUACGCAAGUAUGAAACUUAAAGGAAUUGGCGGGGGAGCACCACAAGGGGUGAAGCCUGCGGUUCAAUUGGAUUCAACGCCGGA